AGAACGAACGCUGGCGGCAUGCCUAACACAUGCAAGUCGAACGCUCCUGGGGCUUCGGUUUCAAGGGAGUGGCGCACGGGUGAGUAGCGCGUGGGAACCUGCCCUGUUGUGGGGGAUAACCGAGGGAAACUUCGGCUAAUACCGCAUAAGCCGGUUGUCUUGAAAGAGAUGGCCGGGAAAGAUUUAUCGCGACAGGAGGGGCCCGCGUCGGAUUAGCUAGUUGGUGGGGUAACGGCCCACCAAGGCUGUGAUCCGUAGCUGGUCUGAGAGGAUGAUCAGCCACACUGGGACUGAGACACGGCCCAGACUCCUACGGGAGGCAGCAGUGGGGGAAUAUUGGACAAUGGGCGCAAGCCUGAUCCAGCAAUGCCGCGUGAGUGAUGAAGGCCUUAGGGUUGUAAAGCUCUUUCGCCCGCGACGAUGAUGACGGUAGCGGGAGAAGAAGCCCGGCUAACUCGUGCCAGCAGCCGC
rnacentral:rRNA from 1 species